rnacentral:rRNA from 1 species
GAUGAACGCUGGCGGCGUGCCUAAUACAUGCAAGUCGAGCGAACGGACGAGAAGCUUGCUUCUCUGAUGUUAGCGGCGGACGGGUGAGUAACACGUGGAUAACCUACCUAUAAGACUGGGAUAACUUCGGGAAACCGUAGCUAAUACCGGAUAAUAUUUUGAACCGCAUGGUUCAAAAGUGUAAGACGGUCUUGCUGUCACUUAUAGAUGGAUCCGCGCUGCAUUAGCUAGUUGGUAAGGUAACGGCUUACCAAGGCAACGAUGCAUAGCCGACCUGAGAGGGUGAUCGGCCACACUGGAACUGAGACACGGGCCAGACUACUACGGGAGGCAGCAGUGGGGAAUCGUCCGCAAUGGGCGAAAGCCUGACGGAGCAACGCCGCGUGAGUGAUGAAGGUCUUCGGAUCGUAAAACGCUGUUAUUAGGGAAGAACAUAUGUGUAAGUAACUGUGCACAUCUUGACGGUACCUAAUCAGAAAGCCACGGCUAACUACGUG